AAUCAACGCUGGCGGCGUGCCUCAGACAUGCAAGUCGAACGAUUAAAGCUCUCUUCGGAGAGUGCAUAGAGUGGCGCACGGGUGAGUAACACGUAAGUAAUCUACCCUCGAGUGGGGAAUAACGUCCGGAAACGGACGCUAAUACCGCAUAAUGCAGCGGCACCGCAAGGUGACAGUUGUUAAAGGAGCAAUCCGCUUGAGGAGGAGCUUGCGGCAGAUUAGCUAGUUGGUAAGGUAACGGCUUACCAAGGCUACGAUCUGUAUCCGGCCUGAGAGGGCGGUCGGACACACUGACACUGAAUAACGGGUCAGACUCCUACGGGAGGCAGCAGUCGGGAAUUUUGGGCAAUGGGCGAAAGCCUGACCCAGCAACGCCGCGUGAAGGAUGAAGUAUUUCGGUAUGUAAACUUCGAAAGAAUAGGAAGAAUAAAUGACGGUACUAUUUAUAAGCUCCGGCUAACUACGUGCCAGCAGCCGCAGUAAGAC
rnacentral:rRNA from 1 species